rnacentral:rRNA from 1 species
UCUGGCGGCGAUAGCGCGGUGGUCCCACCUGACCCCAUGCCGAACUCAGAAGUGAAACGCCGUAGCGCCGAUGGUAGUGUGGGGUCUCCCCAUGCGAGAGUAGGGAACUGCCAGGC